rnacentral:rRNA from 1 species
CCCGCACAAGCGGUGGAGCACGUGGUUUAAUUCGAUGCAAACCGAAGAACCUUACCUGGGUUUGACAUGUACGUGUUACUGAUCUGAGAGGAGAGGGACCCAUGCUUCGGUAUGGGAGCGUACACAGGUGCUGCAUGGCUGUCGUCAGCUCGUGUCGUGAGAUGUUGGGUUAAGUCCCGCAACGAGCGCAACCCUUGCCUUUAGUUGCCAGCAGUUCGGCUGGGCACUCUAAAGGGACUGCCGGUGUUAAACCGGAGGAAGGUGGGGAUGACGUCAAGUCCUCAUGGCCUUUAUGACCAGGGCUACACACGUACUACAAUGGCCGAUACAAAGGGCAGCGACACUGCGAGGUGAAGCCAAUCCCGUAAAAUUGGUCUCAGUCCGGAUUGGAGUCUGCAACUCGACUCCAUGAAGUUGGAAUCGCUAGUAAUCGUGGAUCAGCAUGCCACGGUGAAUACGUUCCCGGGCCUU